rnacentral:rRNA from 1 species
AUUGAACGCUGGCGGCAGGCCUAACACAUGCAAGUCGAACGGUAACAGGGAUCAGCUUGCUGAUUCGCUGACGAGUGGCGGACGGGUGAGGAAUGUCUGGGAAACUGCCUGAUGGAGGGGGAUAACUACUGGAAACGGUAGCUAAUACCGCAUAACGUCGCAAGACCAAAGAGGGGGACCUUCGGGCCUCUUGCCAUCGGAUGUGCCCAGAUGGGAUUAGCUAGUAGGUGGGGUAACGGCUCACCUAGGCGACGAUCCCUAGCUGGUCUGAGAGGAUGACCAGCCACACUGGAACUGAGACACGGUCCAGACUCCUACGGGAGGCAGCAGUGGGGAAUAUUGCACAAUGGGCGCAAGCCUGAUGCAGCCAUGCCGCGUGUAUGAAGAAGGCCUUCGGGUUGUAAAGUACUUUCAGCGGGGAGGAAGGGAGUAAAGUUAAUACCUUUGCUCAUUGACGUUACCCGCAGAAGAAGCACCGGCUAACUCCGUG